UCCUCGAGAAACGUUUCAAACAAAAAUUUUACGACUUAAACCCAACAUUAUAUUCUCUUCUCCACAUCAAAUGGAAAAUUUCCCCAACUAUUGUGCAGCAUCACUAUGAAAUUUAGCAUUACAUACUUUAUAAUUUUUCCUAAUUUUCUUCCAUGCCUGAAUUACACCGACAAAGAUCUGAAGUCCUUUUAUUCUUUUUCCAAAUCAGAAUGGACGUCCGAUUCAAAAAGUGCUCAAGUGCAACCAGAUCUACUCAAAAUGCGUGUCGAUGCAUUUGAUUCAGUCAAAAUAACGAAGAAAAGGAUGGUCCCUGAAAAUGAGCGGAAUAUGCAUUGCGUGUGAGUAGUUACUUUUAUAACUUCAUCUUAUCAUGUUACAUGACAAGUUGAAGUUUGUUGCUAUCAUAUUAAUGUCAUAUGGCAUUCAUUUUAAUAAUUGCUCAUCUAAGAACCA